rnacentral:lncRNA from 1 species
ACACCUUGGUGGCAGCCUGUGUUCUAGUACUCGGGUUAGUACCCUACAUACUACACCCUACACCCUACUAGCCUACACCUUGGUGGCAGCCUGUGUUCUAGUACUCAGGUUAGUACCCUACAUACUACACCCUACACCCUACUAGCCUACACCUUGGUGGCAGCCUGUGUUCUAGUACUCAGGUUAUACCCUACACCCCUACACCCUACUAGCCUACACCUUGGUGGCAGCCUGUGUUCUAGUACUCAGGUUAGUACCCUACAUACUACACCCUACACCCUACUAGCCUACACCUUGGUGGCAGCCUGUGUUCUAGUACUCAGGUUAGUACCCUACAUACUACACCCUACUAGCCUACACCUUGGUGGCAGCCUGUGUUCUAGUACUCAGGUUAGUACCCUACACCCUACACCCUACUAGCCUACACCUUGGUGGCAGCCUGUGUUCUAGUACUCAGGUUAGUACCCUACACCCUACUAGCCUACACCUUGGUGGCAGCCUGUGUUCUAGUACUCAGGUUAGUACCCUACACCCUACACCCUACUAGCCUACACCUUGGUGGCAGCCUGUGUUCUAGUACUCAGGUUAGUACCCUACACCCUACACCCUACUAGCCUACACCUUGGUGGCAGCCUGUGUUCUAGUACUCAGGUUAGUACCCUACAUACUACACCCUACUAGCC